rnacentral:sRNA from 1 species
UUGAGGUGCCUGAGGUACUCUCUUUACUGUACAGUAUCUUCCGAACUGGUAUAGCAUGGGCAGUAGCAGUGCAAGUACCCUACAUUGCCCAUCAAGGGGCAGCCCUGACCUGGAGGACCAUAUUUAGGGCUGACAGAGGUUGAGAUUCCAUGCCCAUUUGAACUGUGGUGAUU